AUGUCUAGCACUCUGCGCGCUAAUCAGAGACCGGGGCUGAAUAUUUAAUAAACUGCAGUCAGGUACCUGAAGUAGCGCGCGAAGUUUUAGGCA
rnacentral:pre_miRNA from 1 species